UAAACUGAAGAGUUUGAUCAUGGCUCAGAUUGAACGCUGGCGGCAGGCUUAACACAUGCAAGUCGAGCGGCCUCACCACUCAAUUUAUUUUGCGACAUUGAGAGAUGUUGAAAGUAAGAAGAGAUAAAUUGAGUGGUGAGGUAGCGGCGGACGGGUGAGUAAUGCUUAGGAAUCUGCCUAUUAGUGGGGGACAACAUUUCGAAAGGGAUGCUAAUACCGCAUACGCCCUACGGGGGAAAGCAGGGGAUCUUCGGACCUUGCGCUAAUAGAUGAGCCUAAGUCAGAUUAGCUAGUUGGUGGGGUAAAGGCCUACCAAGGCGACGAUCUGUAGCGGGUCUGAGAGGAUGAUCCGCCACACUGGGACUGAGACACGGCCCAGACUCCUACGGGAGGCA
rnacentral:rRNA from 1 species